rnacentral:tRNA from 1 species
UCUUUGAUGGUCUAACGGUUAUGAUUUCCGCUUGUCACGCGGGAGACCGGGGUUCGACUCCCCGUCAGGGAG